GCUUCUAUAGCUCAGUCGGCAGAGCGCGUCCUUGGUAAGGACGAGGUCAUCAGUUCGAAUCUGAUUAGAAGCUCCA
rnacentral:tRNA from 1 species